AUGUCGCCAGACUUAGAAGUGAUCAUAUUGAGAGCUAAUCAAUUUGAAGGGAACAUUCCACCAGAGUUGUUCAACCUUUCUUAUUUGACUCAUUUGGACCUUGCACAUAAUAAACUUUCAGGUUCCAUGCCAAACUGCGUAUACAACUUGACUCAUAUGGUUACUUAUAAUGUGAAAAUAUGGAGGCAUGGGAGUUGGAUUUGCAAUUCAAGAGAAAUUAAGCUUCGGUUAACUGGUGACUUUGUAUGCAGAAGAUCUUGCAUUCUUAUGCAAAUUAAGGAUAUAGUUUUUUUCAAAUGCAUCCAAUUCCAUUAUAUCAUCAUUGUUGCUUUUAAAUUCAUAUUUCAACUGUUAUAA